rnacentral:misc_RNA from 1 species
AAACUAGGAUUUGACCCUUCAAAAAUUAUGUUUGUUCAGGCAGUCCUUGUUUUUUAUAUGAUGACGCACAAGACAUGGGAACAGAAAAUGGAGUUUUAUAGGAGGUUGGGUUUGUCUGAAGAUGAGAUUCGGUCGAUUUUCAGAAAGCAUCCCAACUGCAUGUGUUUGUCUGAGAAGAAGGUCAUGGCUACAAUGGAUUUUCUUGUGUGCAA